AAGCCCUCUAUUUGUCUAUUUCAGAGACCUGACAGGGCUUGUCUAUACUUGGCCCCUUGUUACCUUUCUGGGGUGCAUCCAUUGUGAAUAUUGUGUUUAAAUUCACUGUAUUGCUAUAUGAUCAGCUUACACUCCUGUGUUAAUUUCAACUCACCAUGGUUACAGCCUGAUUAGCUCUAUCUACCUUCACUGGAUUUUUAGCUGCAAUCUGCAUUGGCUAUAUACUACUAUGGUGCAGAUGGAACUUUUUCACUGGAUGCCAGUACAAGUUUAUUCUUUUAACCAUUAACCCCUCACCAGUUCAGACUCCGGGUUACUGUUACCCCUAAUCUCAACUGAUGCUCCUCUAGCACAUUUAUAACAAAAAGUCCUUUGAAGAAGCGCCAUAUCUCAGCGCGAAACAUGUCAGGCCACAGCGAUUCCUUUGUCAUCGUUUAGACCUUCAGUCUAUGCAGUCUUCGGUCCUUCCUCAGGAACUUUUACAAUCUAUAAGUGGUUGGAGGUUCUUUGUUUGUCUUUAUCAACAGUAUAUCUCAAUAACCAGUUGAAAUUCUUUUUUAUGUAAUUAUGUUUAAUUACCAAUUCCUGAUGGUUCUCACUGAAUACUGUAACGCUGUGUAAUUUUGUUUUUGUGCAAAUUCAAUC